UACGGAGGGUGCGAGCGUUGUCCGGAAUCAUUGGGCGUAAAGGGCGCGUAGGUGGCCCGGUGAGUCUUUGGUGAAAGCGCGGGGCUCAACCCUGCGUCGGCCAGGGAUACUGCCGCGGCUCGAGCACUGUAGAGGCAGGCGGAAUUCCGGGUGUAGCGGUGGAAUGCGUAGAGAUCCGGAAGAACACCGGUGGCGAAGGCGGAUCUCUGGGCCGUAACUGACGCUGAGGAGCGAAAGCAUGGGGAGCGAACAGG
rnacentral:rRNA from 1 species